CGCAGCCGCGGUAAUUCCAGCUCCAAUAGCGUAUAUUAAAGUUGUUGCAGUUAAAAAGCUCGUAGUUGAAUUUCGGGAUCAAGUCGUCGGUCGUGCUCAGGUACGUACUGGCGUCAUUGAUUUCUCCCUUCUGACGAACCAUGAUGUCAUUAAUUUGGUGUCAUGGGAAAUCAGGACUGUUACUUUGAAAAAAUUAGAGUGUUUAAAGCAGGCUCACGCUUGAAUACAUUAGCAUGGAAUAAUGAAAUAGGACGUUCGAUCCUAUUUUGUUGGUUUUUAGGAUCAACGUAAUGAUUAAUAGGGAUAGUUGGGGGCAUUAGUAUUCAAUUGUCAGAGGUGAAAUUCUUGGAUUUAUUGAAGACUAACUACUGCGAAAGCAUUUGCCAAGGAUGUUUUCAUUAAUCAAGAACGAAAGUUAGGGGAUCGAAGACGAUCAGAUACCGUCGUAGUCUUAACCAUAAACUAUGCCGACUAGGGAUCGGAUGAUGUUAAUUUUUUAAUGACUCAUUCGGCGCCUUAC
rnacentral:misc_RNA from 2 species